UCUGAAUCACAUAUUUCAGAUGAAGAUUUUACACAGCACCUCAUUUAAGUAAACACAAUAAUUGUUGAGUAUUACUAUCAGCACUAAUACGGAUACAUGUAACUAGUGCCUUAUAACUUGCAAAGUAAAACCUCAUUUAAUUGGACACUCACAACCAUCCUGUAAAAGGGGCAGUUGUUUUCUCUUGUUUCUGCUGUCUAGUGUUUCCUGUAAUAUAUUAUACCAGUAUUUGCUGAGCUCCUACAAUGUUUCAGACACUGUACUGAACACUGAAAAUACAGCAGACAAAAGACAGAUGACAGUUCCUGUCCUCAUGGAAUUUUUAUUCUACUGUGGAGAGACUGAGAAUUUAAAAUAAAUAAGAAGAGCCUUGUAUUCUAGAAGACGGUAAGUGCUCUGGAGGAAAAUAAAGCAGAGAAUGAAGUUACAGAAAGAUGAAGAGAGAAAAUACAAUGUUCACAAAGAUUGACAGGGACACCUUACUGAGACUUGACCAGGAGCAAGAACAAGGCAGCAUGAAAGAAUAGCAAGGAAUUGAAUAAGUGAAGCAAAUUCCAGAAAUAAAUGACAUCUGAGAAAGAAUUCGGUAGGUGGAAAUGGAGAGGAAGGGACAGAGGAAUGGAAGUGUGAAAAUUUAAAAUAAUGCAAAUAGUUUGAGAUGAACCAAACUAAGGGAGCUUCUUUGAAUGCUAAUUAUUAAGCUAUUGUCUCUUAGAUUCAAGUUCACCUUCUGGUGUCCCGCUCUGUGAUGGUGGAGUGAAAAAUUUAUUUCUCCCUUGUCAGCUGACUUCCUGUUAGGUUUUGAUAAGAGGCACUAGAGGAAAACUAGGAAGCAAGAGAAACAGGGACGGGAUUUUCUUCUUUCUGUUUGCUUCUGGUUCUUGCAAGGGUGACACCAACAAUGACUCUUCACCAUGACUGUACCAUUUGAUUCAAGCCCAACUACUUUCUCCACCCCAGCACCAUCCAUACCUCAAGUGCACCAGCACCAAGAAAAAUAAUGCCCUCUAAGGACUCAAUUCCAGAUGUGUAGAGCUUCCUCCGUUUGUAGGUUAUGACAACCCAUUUCUUUUCCCUGUCUUCCCCAGUUCUGUGGGUGGAAGCUCUUCUGGUGUUAGCAUCUCUGAGCUAUUUCAUUCUUUUUAUUGCUCUUUCAGUCCUCCGAC
rnacentral:lncRNA from 10 species